AUUGAACGCUGGCGGCAUGCUUUACACAUGCAAGUCGAACGGUAACAGGCCGCAAGGUGCUGACGAGUGGCGAACGGGUGAGUAAUGCAUCGGAACGUGCCCAGUCGUGGGGGAUAACGCAGCGAAAGCUGCGCUAAUACCGCAUACGAUCUAUGGAUGAAAGCGGGGGACCGUAAGGCCUCGCGCGAUUGGAGCGGCCGAUGUCAGAUUAGGUAGUUGGUGAGGUAAAGGCUCACCAAGCCAACGAUCUGUAGCUGGUCUGAGAGGACGACCAGCCACACUGGGACUGAGACACGGCCCAGACUCCUACGGGAGGCAGCAGUGGGGAAUUUUGGACAAUGGGCGCAAGCCUGAUCCAGCAAUGCCGCGUGCAGGAAGAAGGCCUUCGGGUUGUAAACUGCUUUUGUACGGAACGAAACGGCUCUCACUAAUACUGGGGGCUAAUGACGGUACCGUAAGAAUAAGCACCGGCUAACUACGUGCCAGCCGCCGCGGUAAUAC
rnacentral:rRNA from 1 species